rnacentral:rRNA from 1 species
CCUACGGGUGGCAGCAGUGGGGAAUAUUGCACAAUGGGGGAAACCCUGAUGCAGCGACGCCGCGUGAGUGAAGAAGUAUCUCGGUAUGUAAAGCUCUAUCAGCAGGGAAGAAAAUGACGGUACCUGACUAAGAAGCCCCGGCUAACUACGUGCCAGCAGCCGCGGUAAUACGUAGGGGGCACGCGUUAUCCGGAUUUACUGGGGGUAAAGGGGGCGCAGACGGGGAUGCAAGCCAGGAGUGAAAGCCUGGGGCCCAACCCCCGGACUGCCCUUGGAACUGCGUGGCUGGAGUGCAGGAGGGGCAGGCGGAAUGCCUGGUGUAGCGGUGAAAUGCGUAGAUAUCAGGCGGAACACCGGUGGCGAAGGCGGCCUGCUGGACUGCAACUGACGUUGAGGCCCGAAAGCGUGGGGAGCAAACAGGAUUAGAUACCCCGGUAGUC